UCCGGNUCUUCCGCGCCGUAGCUAACGCAUUAAGUGCCCCGCCUGGGGAGUACGGCCGCAAGGCUAAAACUCAAAGGAAUUGACGGGGGCCCGCACAAGCGGCGGAGCAUGCGGAUUAGUUCGAUGCAACGCGAAGAACCUUACCAAGGCUUGACAUGUGCCGGUCUGCUCCGGAGACGGGGUUUCCUCCCUUGUGGGGGCUGGUUCACAGGUGGUGCAUGGUUGUCGUCAGCUCGUGUCGUGAGAUGUUGGGUUAAGUCCCGCAACGAGCGCAACCCUUGUCUCGUGUUGCCAGCACGUUGUGGUGGGGACUCGCGGGAGACUGCCGGGGUCAACUCGGAGGAAGGUGGGGAUGACGUCAAAUCAUCAUGCCCCUUAUGUCUUGGGCUUCACGCAUGCUACAAUGGCCGGUACAGAGGGCUGCGAUACCGUGAGGUGGAGCGAAUCCCUUAAAGCCGGUCUCAGUUCGGAUCGGUGUCUGCAACUCGACACCGUGAAGUUGGAGUCGCUAGUAAUCGCAGAUCAGCAACGCUGCGGUGAAUACGUUCUCGGGCCUUGUACACACCGCCCGUCACGUCAUGAAAGUCGGCAACACCCGAAGCCCGUGGCCCUACGGGGAGCGGUCGAAGGUGGGG
rnacentral:rRNA from 1 species